rnacentral:lncRNA from 1 species
AUAUAUCACUGAGUCCAUGUCUUUACCCUGACCCCAGCCUUUUUCUUGCUUACGUAGCAGGCCGGAACAAAGAUGUCAUAUUUAUUGUCAUUUGAUACAUAAAAAGAAUUUGUGUAUUUAUUUAUUUAUUUUUUAAAGAUUUUAUUUAUUCAUGAGAGAAAGAGAGAGAGGCAGAGACACAGGCAGAGGGAGAAGCAGGCUCCAUGCAGGGAGCCUGAUGUGGGGCUUGAUCCUGGGACUCCAGGAUCACGCCCUGGGCUGAAGGCAGGCACCAAACCACUGAGCCACCCAAGGAUCCCCAGAAUUUGUGUCUUUAAUGUGAAGAUGUAAUUUACGUGUUUUUAUAAUAUAAGGAUAAGAGAAGUAGAAGGUAUUGUAUGUUUCUUCAAACUCCACAAGUAAGCCUAAGUUGCUUUUUUUAAUGUGGCAUUUAGCAGCAUUUUCUUACAUUAUAUGUUAAUAGUCUGGGUUUGGAGAAAUACCCCCAAGGAGGAAAGGAUGUGUGGGAAUAGAGUAAUUGAGGCACAGAAGCCUGUUUCAGAUGUGCUUUUUACUACUGACUGAGAGUCUCUUAGAGUUACUGAAGAUGAAAGUGUGGAUUGUGGUUUCUAAUUCAUCUUCUUUUCUCCUUGUUAUUGGUACAAAGAGGAGGAACAAGACAAAUCCUGUGAGGAUGAGGAAAGGCACCUAUUUUUCUAUUUGCUCUACAUUUGGGCUUAAAUUGCUGCAAAGUCAUUCCCUGGGGGAAUUCUGGAGUAACUGCAGGUUACUAAUAAAUACUCCCCACUUUGAUUUCUGCAGCCUCAGCAUUUUCAGCCCCAUAAGAGAUGCUCUGAACAAGCAAAUGUGAUUUUAAGUUAGCUCCAAAAUAUGUCCCGAUAUGUGGGAACUAUUUUUAAGACAACAGCAAGGACCUGACAGACUGCUAUUUGCUGGAAUGUGAAUUGCCUCACAUCUCUUUUGACCUUGCCCCACAAUGAGGCUGCAUCAAGCUAUCAUUGUCCCUUGGGACAACAUAUUUUGCAUUGUACUGUGCAUUAGUGCUCCCCUGAAAGAUGCUGGCCAUUUUUAAGCUGUAUAAUGGGGAAGAGAAAGUGGAUGGCAAAACGGAGAACUGGGAAAAGAGGCAAGGGCCCCACAAGGGAAAAAGAAACAAAAAAACUGCAAAAUGAAACAAGAGUAAAAGAGCAAGAGGAUAAAAUAGAGUGACAAAUAACACUUACUAUAUACACUUACAUCUGUCAAUCAAUCGUCUAUCAUCUAUCACUGAUUUAUCUAACAAUAAUCUAUCAUCUACCUGUUGAUUAUGUAUCUAUGUAUCUAUCAUGUAGGAGGCAGGAGGAAGAAUGGUAUAUUUGAGCUGAAGCAAAUCAGAAUAGUAAAAGUCAUCUUUAUAGUUCUUUUGUCAAACAGGGUGAAUGCCAAGAAAGUCUAGUUGGGGGUGGGAGGUUUCUCUUCUUUACUCUCAGCCAUCCCUCUCCCCUAGCUUUCUCUGUCCUCAUCAAAACCAGAUGCUAAGUUUGAAAACAGGAUUAUGAAGACUAUUUAAAAUACUUAAGGGAAACUAGGUUUGUCACCAAAGACUUUGCCAGGUACAAAACAAACUGAAAAACAAGGUGUUUGGAAUGAAGCCAGGUAACCUUGGCAGGUAGGGGUGGGUACGGGUAGCUUGGGUAUUAUAGUUCACUCAAAGGGACUAGGACAGAAAGGAUCACCAGUGUUCUUUUUUUUUUUUAAUUUUAUAUAUUUAUUCAUAAGAGACAUACAGAGAGAGAGGCAGAACAUAGGCAGAGGGAGAAGCAGGCUCCUCACAGGGAGCCCGAUCUGGGACUCGAUCCCCAAACUGGGAUCACGCCCUGAGCCAAAGGCAGAUGCUCAACCACUGAGCCACCCAGGCGUCCCAGGAUCUCCAGUGUUAAUAUCAAUGAGAGGCCCUAAAGUACAACCAGCGCACCUCUAGGUGUUCAAUCAUCUAACUAGAUAUUUGGAUAUAACUCCAAUGAAUCCAAUGCAAAACAUUUAGUGAGCGACCUUGGUAAUAGGUCCACAGGAGGGAGAAUGAUGAGGAAGCUUUAAAUCAUGCUAUGAAGAAUUGAUGAAGGAAUUAGAAAUAUUUAGAUUAGAAUAGGAAAGACUCUUGGGGACUGCGAUAUAUGAAAUACCUGCGGGGUUUUCAUGGAAAGGAAGAGCGAAAUUUAUUCUGCUCUAUUCUAGACUGAUGUUUCUGAAACUUUUCAUUGGAACUCAUCUGAGUGGACAAUACUCCUCUAGUAGACCAUGUCAAGGUGGCUCCUAGCUGGAUAGGAGAACUGAUGGAGGCAACGAAGGUGGUAGUUACAUCUCUACAGAAAAAUGAACUUCCUAUUGAUGAAAGUUCUGAUAAUGAAUUGAAUUGCUUUGGUAGGUAGUGAGCUCCUUGACACUCAUGGUGUUCAAGCUGAAGCUUAAUGACUUUCUGGUGGGAAGAGACUAUAAUAAUAUUUCCAAGUUUCCAGUAUUUUUAUAAUUCUUCUGGACAAAAGACACCAAAUAUGUUUUUAAAAAGCCUUUGGAUCAGUAAGUGUUCAAGAAAAAUCACGGAUUGGGUGAUUACUAUGUGCAGCAUACUGUGAUCUGAAAGGAAAGAGAAGCUCCAUUUCAGGCUAGAUACAGAUUAAACAAGAACAGUCAAUCUAUGCUGGACAUGUGGCUCAAGAAAUCAACUGAGUAUCAGUUGCACUCACAUGAGCCUGAGAAUGAAGAACAAGGAUAGCAUAGUUUUUUUUUAAUUUAAAAUCAAUUACAGGUAAAUUUUGUAAUGAAAAAAAUUUGUGCAUUUUGUCCAAGAGGGAAUUAGUUCUCUUUAAAAGCAGGCAGUAUGCCAAGCACUUUAUGCACACACCAAAUUUCAAAAUUCUUAUAACUACCCUGUGAGGUGGGUUACUCAUUAAAGACGUGACAAAGCCAGGAUUCCAGGCUGGUAGGAUGUUAAAGAAUUUUUUUUUCUUUUUUUUCCCAUUCUCCACUGUGUCCUACCUCUCUUUAUACUUGCCUUGAUCAUAGCAUGUGGCACAUUGUACUAUUGUCAUCACUUUCUUGACUCAUCUCCUCCUUACUUGAGGACAGGCAUCCUUUUAUGUCUUGUAUCACUAGCACUUUUCAUGGGUACUAGUGUACAGUUAACGUUGCAUAAGAGUUUGUGAGUAAUAAUUGUGUGUGAGGGGGAAGAGGCAGACACACAAGAACUAACUUUAGAAGGCUGGAGUGAAAAGGAGACCAGAAAAAUGAUUUUAGUGCCAAUGACAUUUUUAUCAUCAAAUGAUAUAAAGAUUUCUCUUCUACUCACUGUGAUCUAAUGAAUUCACCACAAGCCACAUGUGCCUCGUUAAGUAUAAAUUAAUUCUAAUUAGAUAAAAUUGAAAAUUUUAUUUCCUUAGUCACACUACCCACAAGUGGCUAGUUGGUCAUGUUAUUGGAUAGUGAAGAUGUUGAAUAUUGCCAUCAUUGAAGAGAGCUCUAUAGGACAUGCUGAAAGAGAACCAACAAGCAAUAUUUUAGAAGAAAUAAAGAGAAAUUUUAAAAGGCAAAUUCAAAUUUUGCAUCAACUAAAAUGUAGGGAAAAAAGGACAGGGAUGAGGAAGAAGUACAACAGGAAGAGAGUCUUUGAAGAGGAACAACAAAACAAAACAAAACUCCUUACUUCAGAAGAAACAGAUUAAUCUGAGGUGCCCCGAUUCUAAUACAGGUUUCUCUCACUAUCCAAAAGUAGAGCGUUCCCACAAAUUCUUUCAUAGACCAUAAUGGCAUAAAGUGAAAGAACGAUUACCAUUUCAUAAAGCAAAAGUCCUCUUUAGAUUUCUUUCAGUUAGUGAAAUCAGGUACUAAUGUAGGGUUUUCGUAAAAGUAAAGUGGCAUAAAGUGAACUUCUGGGUGGUGGGGAAAGCCCAUAGCUCCAUAAAUAUUACAGACCCUCAUAUCCAUCUACCUUCACUUCACUUGCUUGGGGUCCAGUUUCAAUCCCACAGUCCUCUAGAAUAACCACUCCCUUUCUGACACCAUAAAUUCUGAGUUCUCUUUUUAUGCCAUCAUACUUCUUAGCAAUAACACCACUCUGCAGCAUCCAAGUCUUCGCUUCCUCAUGCCUGCACCUGUGUAGCUGAAUGUGGCUGGAGAAAAGCCUAUUAUCAUGCUGACUGGUUGCACAUUAAAGUCCUGAAAAUUAAGCUUGUGUCUUUAAUGCCCACAACACUAACAAGCAAUCAUAGAACAUUUCUGUUGUCCAUGCAUUCUCCCUUUUUUAGGUAACUUCCUGCACCUAUGUCCAUAUGCUCUCCUCUCCCUUCUGUUACUGGGGGUUAAUGGUCCUUUGAGGCCAGCCCUCUACCCAGGCACUGCAUCUACUGGCUUUCUGCUACUCAAGUCACUCCAGAAAUCAUCCCAUUUCUUUCCUGCACCACCAAUUUAUUUCUUGGAGUAUUAUAAACAUUCUGAAAUUUCUUCCAUUUUAAAAAAAGUCUAUCUUCAUCCUUUAUUAGCUGUGUUUUAUAGAAAAUCUCCUUGGAAAAACUGCUUUUCUCUCUCCAGUUUUCUUAUAUUCUUAUAAUACCAAAUUAAUUAGAAUUCCUUUCUUUUUUCCUACUCCACCUUGAUGUAUCUUGUCAAGGACACCAAUAACUUCUAUAGUUAAAUUUAAUGACAAUUUUAUUGGGAUCCCUGGGUGGUGCAGUGGUUUAGCACCUGCCUUUGGCCCAGGGCGCGAUCCUGGAGACCCGGGAUCGAAUCCCACGUCGGGCUCCUGGCGCAUGGAGCCUGCUUCUUCCUCUGCCUGUGUCUCUGCCUCUCUCUCUCUCUCUGUGACUAUCAUAAAUUAAAAAAAAAUGACAUUUUUAUUAUUAUUAUUUUUUUUAAUGACAAUUUUUAACCCUCAUUUUAUCUGUCAGCAACAUUUGGUUCAGUGGAUCAAUUGCUUUAAACACUUUUUUUUUUUUUUUUUCAGUUUCUUCCAAGGCAGCCCACUCUCCUGGUCUUUUAUGUCAUUGAUUACUAUGUUUCAGUCUCUUCUCUCAGACCUCAUUCUCAUGGCUUCCAUUAUCUAUGUCCAUCCUAUAUCUCCCCCCAGUCCUCCAGACUCAAUAUCCUACUGCCUUCUGUCCUCUCCAUUCAGACAUCUAACAGCCAUGCACAUCCAAAUGUACUCUUGAAACAUCUUCACUACUUUGGUUUAUGGCAACUCCCCCAACAGCUGGAGUCUGCCUCAUCUCUUAUCUGUCUCUCAACAUCACACAGACACCCAUCUGCCAAUCCUAUUGGCUCUAUCCUCAAAAUGUUUCUAGAGUCUGAACCCUUCUUACCACUGCCACCAUGUCUAUCAGGUUUCAGCCAGCAUUAUCUCUCACACACAUUAUUACAGAUCCUUCCUAACAGUUGUUCUUGCAUUCAUGCUUUGUCUUUAUGACUAUUCACUCCGCAGCUGUAACAGUACUAUUAAAACAGGGUCAGAUCAUGGCUGGUGAAAUUUCUCUGUUCAUUAAGCUCCAAGACUUCUCCUUUCACUCAGUGAAAACCAGAAUCAUUACAGUGGCCUGUGAGAACCUACAAAAUCUUCACCCUCCCCCUAAAUUCCAAUACCCUUAUCUUAUUAUUCUCAUCUUGUACUUCUCUCCCUUGUACUUUAUCAGAAAAACUGAUACACUUGUUGUCCUUUGAACUUGCCAGGCAUUACUCAGGGUACUUGUUUAUUUUUGUUUGCCUCCACUUGGAGCAUUCUCCUAGAUAUUCACAUACUUCAGACAUUCUGGAUAUUUAUUAAAAUGUUCCUUAGUAUAGGAUUGUGAGAGAAAAGAGAACAAAUGCAAUCUUUUGCCCAAGAGACUCUGGUGACUUGUCCAAGAACUGGGUUUAUAGAAGAAAAUCAUCCAGGGAUAGAAUUUCCACUUAACACUCAUCUUAUAAAUUUUGAAAAAUGGGUGAUGUCUUAGUUGGAUGAUGAAUUGUAAUAAAGCUUAGAUCAUUUACAUUAUAUUAUGGUAUAUAUAUGAUAUGUAUAAAGUACAAUACUAUAUACCAUAUUAUGCUAUAUAAAUAAAUGAUGAUUACCACUCACUCUCUCCUGUAUAUAUACACAUAUGCACACACACAUACAGACAUGGAAGGAAAUUAACAAUAUUAAAGACUAGAAGACCUUUCCCAUUAUAAAAAGAAGCACUAUGCUUUGUAAAUAAUUUUAUGAAGAUAAUAGAAUUGGAGGUAACCACAUUGUGGCUCUAUGCUUAAAUACUUGAAUUGAUCUCCUCAGAAAGAAUUUCAGGGGCUUAUUUAUAUAAAUAUGCUAACAGUCUGGAACAAACAUAAUAAAACAUGAUUUAGGCCAGUAGACUUUGGACUAUUUAUUUAUUUAUGUAUUUAAUAUCUAUCCAUUUAUUCAUGAGAGACACAGAGAGAGACGCAGAGACACAGGCAGAGGGAGAAGUAGGCUCCCCACAGGGAACCCUAAGCAGGACUCAAUCUGGGAUUCCAGGGUCACACCCUGAGCAAAGGCAGAUGCUCAACCACUGAGCCACCAGGUGUCCCUGAACAAUUUAUUUUCUCUAGGAAAGAAAAUAGAUAAUAAUAAUAUCCAAAAUAAUAACCAAAAUCAGUUCCUUGAAAUCUCAGAUUAUAGUGACAUGAAAAGAUAAAUAAAUUCCUAUUAGUACAUGAAAGGUUUAGAAAUUCAGGGAAACUGAUCAAACCUCUUUGUCCCAUUCAGUCUUUCAAGUGUUAGAGCUGUGGCAUUAGCUUUCAGAGAUAAAAGGAAAACCAUAGCAAGUGAUAUAACCAUCUCCUGAUACUUUUUAAUGAGAAGAAAAAAGAAAAUUAGCAUUUGUUGAGAGGAUACAAUGUACCAGGCAUCAUUUUUUUUUUUAAAUUUUUAUUUAUUUAUGAUAAUCACAGAGAGAGAGAGAGAGAGAGGCAGAGACACAGGCAGAGGGAGAAGCAGGCUCCAUGCGCCGGGAGCCGAUGUGGGAUUCGAUCCCGGGUCUCCAGGAUCGCGCCCCGGGCCAAAGGCAGGCGCCAAACCGCUGCGCCACCCAGGGAUCCCUGUACCAGGCAUCAUGAUAAGAUUUUAAUGUGAUAGUCCUUGGGGCGCCUGAGUGGCUCAGUCCAGUAAGUGUCUGCCUUUGUUUCAUUUCAUGAUCCCAGGGUCCUGGGAUUGAGUCCCACAUUGGGCUCCCUGCUCAGAAGGGGGUCUACCUCUCCCUCUCCCUGUGCUCCCCUCGCCCUCAUUAGCACUCUUUCCCAAAUAAAUAAAAUCUUGAAAAAAAAAGUGAUAGUCCUCAAAAUGGUCCAUGUGGUGGAUAAUGUUAUCUCUUCUUAAAGAUGAAGAAACUGAAGUUUAGGAUCCAGGUAAGAUUGAUAUCAUGUGCUGUUCAUUACAGAGCCGGUGCUCCUCCUCUUCCACCAUUUUGGAGAAUUUAAAGACAAACUGAAAACCUUAGUGGAAACUAUAGUAUUCAAAUGACAAAUACAUGAAUUUGUAUAUUAGGAAC